UACGUAGGGUGCAAGCGUUAAUCGGAAUUACUGGGCGUAAAGCGUACGCAGGCGGCUAUGUAAGACAGGUGUGAAAUCCCCGGGCCUAACCUGGGAACUGCAUUUGUGACUGCAUAGCUAGAGUCCGUCAGAGGGGGGUGGAAUUCCACGUGUAGCAGUGAAAUGCGUAGAGAUGUGGAGGAACACCGAUGGCGAAGGCAGCCCCCUGGGAUGAGACUGACGCUCAUGUACGAAAGCGUGGGGAGCAAACAGGAUUAGAUACCCUGGUAGUCCACGCCCUAAACGAUGUCGACUAGUUGUCGGGGAUUUACAUCCUCGGUAACGCAGCUAACGCGUGAAGUCGACCGCCUGGGGAGUACGGUCGCAAGAUUAAA
rnacentral:rRNA from 1 species